ACCUCCUGAGGUCCCUUCCAACCCUGAUCUUCUUCCCAACAACACACCUUCCCUGGCUGCCCUCAGCGGUGGGUGAUUGCCAGCCCUGGGCUAAGCAUGUGCUAAAUAACCAAGCAGGCCACGCUCAUGUGGGGGGCCAGUGGGCAGAAGCGAGUGACCUGCAAGAUGAGCAGGACACCAGUCGGGAACAGCCCAGCCACAGCUGGGACAACAGCGGAUGCAGGGGAGAAAGACUGAGGGGCGCUGGCAGAGCUAGGGGGAGCCCUGGGCUGAGGUAGCAGGAGGACAGGACUGAGGUGCGUUGCCAUAGCAAUGGAGAAUCCCUGUCCACUGAGGGGCACCAGCAGAGCUGGGGGGGAGUGGCUGAAGAGUGGAAUAGCAGGGGGCUGCAGGUCGGGAUUGAGGGGCACCAGCAGGGUGUGGGCGGUGCUCAGGAGUGGAAUAGCAGGGGGCUGCAGGUCGGGAUUGAGGGGCACCAGCAGGGUGUGGGCGGUGCUCAGGAGUGGAAUAGCAGGGGGCUGCAGGUUGGGAUUGAGGGGCACCAGCAGGGUGUGGGCGGUGCUCAGGAGUGGAAUAGCAGGGGGCUGCAGGUCAGGAUUUUGGGGCACCAGCAGAGCUGGGGGAGGGGGGGCAGCUCAGGAGGGGAAUAGCAAGGGGCUGCAGGUCAGGAUUUUGGGGCACCAGCAGAGCUGGGGGAGGGGGGGCAGCUCAGGAGGGGAAUAGCAGGUGGCUGCAGGUCGGGAUUGAGGGGCACCAGCAGGGCUGGGGGGGCGGUUUAGGGGAAUAGGAGGUAGCUGCGGGUCAGGAUUGAGGGGCAUCAGCGGAGC